rnacentral:rRNA from 1 species
AUUGAACGCUGGCGGCAGGCCUAACACAUGCAAGUCGAGCGGAGCGGCGGACGGGUGCGUAAUGCCUAGGAAUCUGCCUGGUCGUGGGGGAUAACGUCAGGAACCGGGCGCUAAUACCGCAUACUAUCAGAUGAGCCUAGGCCGGAUUAGCUAGUUGGUGGGGUAAAGGCCUACCAAGGCGACGAUCCGUAACUGGUCUGAGAGGAUGAUCAGUCACACUGGAACGGAGACACGGGCCAGACGCCUACGGGAGGCAGCAGUGGGGAAUAUUGGACAAUGGGCGAAAGCCUGAUGCAGCCAUGCCGCGUGUGUGAAGAAGGUCUUCGGGUUGUAAAGCACUUUAAGUUGGGAGGCGUUACCAACAGAAUAAGCACCGGCUAACUUCGUGCCAGCAGCCGCGGUAAUAC